UAAAUAAAUUAGCAAAAAUUUGCUGUUACUUUACCUCAGUGGCUCUGGUACUACUGUUUUUUAAGUGUUUUUUACUCCAGUGCAUGAGGAUCAGUUACUGUUUCAUUGGCGUAUAAACAUCUUCAAUGGCUGGUUCAUCAAACAGCUCUUAGAUAGUGUUAUAUAUAACAAAACGUUCAAAAAUAUAGAAAAUACAUUAUAUCCAUUGGAAUGAAUGCCGGGUCUCACAGGAUUAAAGUGCUUUAAACAAACUUUAAUCUGGCCUUUAUGUUUAGUGCUUUGUGUUUUGCACUGUUGCCUCUGUUGUUCUGCUCAUGAAUUCAUUAAAUCUUUUAUAAAUAAUAGUCUCUGACAAAUACUGUUAGCUGAAGGCUGUUACUAAUUAGUCGAAAAGAUAAUUGAGGACUUUUUUUUGCAAGAUUAGUUAGGAAAAGCAGUGGACUUCCUUGGCCUACCAGUCCCUUUGAUAUUAAUGAACUGGAUACUGCAUUCUUUUUUGUUUUUAAUGAUAUUCCACACAGUUCCCCUUAACUGCCAUUUCUUAAAUGUUAAUUUAGACCAUGGAAAGAAAUCACAGGAAGUGCUCGUUUUAAUAUAGCAAUUAUAGCAUUUCCCUGCUGUUAAGGCUUAAGUUAGCUUUAUAUCACAAUUAUUAGUAAUAUUGUAAUGUUAUCUUGUGAGGAAUUAUCAUAGGCUCAACAAGGCAUGACAGUGGGUGCCAGACUGUUGGGACACAGUAUCAAAUGUGUGUACCAGAGAUAGAAGUGUCAUAGAAGGCAUUACCACCCGCAGAAGACAGAAAUGCAAGGGGAUGGUAAUGAUCGUGACCGGUGGCAUCUGGCCAGAAUUGUCCAUGUAUAGAAACAAGCUCGUUUUUUUUAUUUUUUAUUCAAGAAGCAUAUUUUAAUUCAAGAGUCUUUUUUUUUUAUUCUUUAGAGAAUAACAAACCUGUCACUAUAAAUAAUCACUCUUCACUAAUGCAUUUCAGUGUGUGUGCGUGUGUGUGUGUGUGUGUGAGUGUCUCACAGCAGAGACCCCAACAAUGAGUCAUCGUGCACUCCAACCAUGCUGCAUCUUUCUGCCACAUUAACUCCCCUGCCUCAACACACACACACACACACACACACACACGCACACACACACACACACACACACACACACGCACACACACAGCCACACACACACACAGCCACACACACACAGCCCAUAGAGAAGGAGCACUCUAGCAUUCAAUCCCUGCUAUCUGAGUAAAUGUCAAGAAACUUCACAGCAGCCGUUCAGGGUUGUAUAACUCGUCAGGACAUGUCAUGGCUCGUCAGGAUGGAUGUGUCAGGGACAGAGAAGCUGGCCUGAGUUAAUGGAAAGUUGGAUUGAGCUGAAUCCUGGAAGAAAACCUGUUGAAGGCAACAAAUACUUGAGACUGGGAAGGAGAUUCGCCUUCCAGCAAGACGAUGACCCUAAACAAACAACCAGAGCUACAGUGGAAUGGUUUGGAUCAGAAAAUAUUCAUGAGUUAGAAUUGCACAGUCUUAAAUGGAAUUGAGCUUCUGUGGCAAGACAUGAAAACUGCUGUUUUAAAAACAGACGCUCUUCAUCCAACUUAACUGAGCUUGAGCUGUUUUUUUUUUUAAAGAAGAAUGGGGCAAAAUCUUAAAAAAAUAGGCUUGAACAAAGUACUUUUGCUCCAAUGAGAUUAUACAAGAAACACAAAGAAAAAAAGACUAAGAAAAAGAAAAGAAAAAUAAUAAUAAUAAUUAUUAUAUGUAGUUACUCAAUAUACAUAAUCACAAGAAUAUACAUAAAUACAUAUUUAGAAUGAGUUUAAAUGAGUUGGUUGGCAGUUCUAAAUGAAUGUUCAUCACACCAACAUGUACAAAAUGUGGAACUUCAACAUUCCAACACUUCCCAGAAGUGUUUCAUAAAGUGGAAUUUAUUUACUUCAACAUAUUGCAACACAAAAGUCUUCAGCUGGUUGAAACUGUUCCAUUCCACCAUGUCACUCAUGUGUCUAACCCCUUCUGUUAUGUUACGAAUCAGAUUGACCUGUUUUAAAGUUUGAAGAUCUAGGAAAAAUAGUUAAAAGUAUGAAACUUUUUCAGUAUGACACUUCUUCUGCUUCUCUUAAUUAGUUUAAUCAACAUAUAAUAUGAAAAUGGUUCAUCUCACAUAUUUGCAACCACCCCCUGCAAAAGCUAAGACAAAAUGACAAUGUUUUGUUUCAUUGUUAUGUAAAAAUAUUGUUUUAUAUGUUGGUCUUUCAAAAAU